AGGAUGAACGCUGGCGGCGUGCCUAACACAUGCAAGUCGAACGUCCUGUCUCGCAAGAGGCAGGGAGUGGCGGACGGGUGAGUACCACGUGGGUCAUCUACCGUGAGGUGAGGAAUACCGGCGAGAAAUCGCCGACAAGACCGCAUAGGCUCGAUGCAAGUCGAGCAAAGCUCUUUCGAGAGAGGGAGCGCCACACGAGGAGCCUGCGCCCGAUUAGCUAGCUGGUGGAGUAACGGUUCACCAGGGCGACGAUCGGUAGCUGGUCUGAGAGGACGAUCAGCCACACUGGGAUUGAGAACGGCCCAGACUCCUACGGGGGGCAGCAGUGAGGAAUUUUCGUCAAUGGGGGCAACCCUGAACGAGCAACGCCGCGUGCAGGAAGAAGGUUUUCGGAUCGUAAACUGCUUUUCUCGGGGAAGAGAAUGGACGGUACCGAGGAAUCGACGCCCCGGACUAACUACGUGCCAGCAGCCGCGGU
rnacentral:rRNA from 1 species